rnacentral:rRNA from 1 species
GACGAACGCUGGCGGCGUGCCUAAUACAUGCAAGUUGAGCGCUGAAGGUUGGUACUUGUAUCAACUGGGUGAGCAGCGUAAGGGUGAGUAACGCGUGGGUAACCUGCCUUUGAGCGGGGGACAACAUCUGGAAACGAAUGCUAAUACCGCAUAAAAACUUUAAACACAAGUUUUAAGUUUGAAAGAUGCCAUUGCCUUACUAUAAGAUGAUCCCGCCUUGUAUUUGCUCAGUGGUGAGGAAAAUGCCCACCAAGGCGAGGAUAGAUAGCCGGCCAGAGAGGGUGAACGGCCAAACUGGGACUGGGACAAGGCCCAAACUACCACGGGAGGCAGCAGGAGGGGAACUUCGGCAAGGGGCGGAAGGCAGACCGAGCAAAGCCGCGGGAGUGAAGAAGGGUUUCGGAUCGGAAAACUCAGUUGGUAGAGAAGAAAGUUGGUGAGAGUGGAAAGCUCAUCAAGUGACGUUAACUACCCAGAAAGGGACGGCUAACUACGUG